rnacentral:tRNA from 1 species
UGGCGUGUAGUUUAAUAGGGGAAACUAUGGGCUUAUUGACAAGCACGUAUUAGUGGUUCAAGUCCACUCACGCCAU